UACAGAGGGUGCAAGCGUUGUUCGGAAUUACUGGGCGUAAAGCGUGCGUAGUCGGUAUUGAGAGUCGCGGGUGAAAUCCCAGGGCUUAACCCUGGAACUGCCUGCGAGACCUCAGUACUAGAGUUGUGAGAGGGGAUAGUGGAAUACCCCAGUGUAGCGGUGAAAUGCGUAGAGAUUGGGUGGAACACCGGUGGCGAAGGCGGCUAAUCUGGCUCACAA
rnacentral:rRNA from 1 species